GAUGAACGCUGGCGGCGUGCCUAAUACAUGCAAGUCGAGCGAAUGGAUUAAGAGCUUGCUCUUAUGAAGUUAGCGGCGGACGGGUGAGUAACACGUGGGUAACCUGCCCAUAAGACUGGGAUAACUCCGGGAAACCGGGGCUAAUACCGGAUAACAUUUUGAACCGCAUGGUUCGAAAUUGAAAGGCGGCUUCGGCCGUCACUUAUGGAUGGACCCGCGUCGCAUUAGCUAGUUGGUGAGGUAACGGCUCACCAAGGCAACGAUGCGUAGCCGAACGGAGAGGGGGAUCGGCCACACGGGGACUGAGACCCGGCCCAGACUCCUACGGAAGGCAGUAGUAGGGAAUCUUCCGCAAUGGACGAAAGUCUGACGGAGCAACGCCGCGUGAGUGAUGAAGGCUUUCGGGUCGUAAAACUCUGUUGUUAGGGAAGAACAAGUGCUAGUUGAAUAAGCUGGCACCUUGACGGUACCUAACCAGAAAGCCACGGCUAACUACGUGCCAGCAGCCGCGGUAA
rnacentral:rRNA from 1 species